rnacentral:rRNA from 1 species
AUGAACGUUGGCGGCGUGCCUAAUACAUGCAAGUCGAACGGGAAGGGGUCCUUCGGGGUUCUGGAGAGUGGCGCACGGGUGAGUAACACGUAACUGAUCUGCCCUGUAGACUGGGAUAACCUUUGGAAACAGAGGCUAAUACCGGAUGAGUUCGCGUUAGUUAGAGAUGCGCGAGGGAAUGUUUAGGCGCUACGGGAUGAGGUUGCGGGCCAUCAGCUGGUCGGUGGGGUAAAGGCUCACCGAGGCGAUGACGGCUAGGGGAUCUGAGAGGGUGGCCCCCCACACUGGGACUGAGACACGGCCCAGACUCCUACGGGAGGCAGCAGUAAGGGAUAUUGCGCAAUGGACGGAAGUCUGACGCAGCGACGCCGCGUGGGUGAAGAAGGUUUUCGGGAUCGUAAAGCCCUUUUCCAGGUGACGAGAGAGGACGGUAGCCUGGGAAUAAGUGUCGGCUAACUACGUGCCAGCAGCCGCGGUAAAACGUAGGACACGAACGUUAUCCGGAGUUACUGGGCGUAAAACCC